UACGGGGGGAGCAAGCGUUGUUCGGAUUUACUGGGCGUAAAGGGCGCGUAGGCGGCGCAACAAGUCACUUGUGGAAUCUCCGGGCUCAACUCGGAGCGGCCAAGUGAUACUGUCGUGCUAGAGUGCGGAAGGGGCAACUGGAAUUCUCGGUGUAGCGGUGAAAUGCGUAGAUAUCGAGAGGAACACCUGCGGCGAAGGCGGGUUGCUGGGCCGACACUGACGCUGAGGCGCGAAAGCCAGGGGAGCGAACGGG
rnacentral:rRNA from 1 species